rnacentral:rRNA from 1 species
AUUGAACGCUGGCGGAAUGCUUUACACAUGCAAGUCGAACGGCAGCACGGACUUCGGUCUGGUGGCGAGUGGCGAACGGGUGAGUAAUGUAUCGGCACGUGCCCAGUCGUGGGGGAUAACGUAGUGAAAAUUACGCUAAUACCGCAUACGAACUAUGGAUGAAAGCGGGGGAUCGCAAGACCUCGCGCGAUGGGAGCGGCCGAUAUCAGAUUAGGUAGUUGGUGGGGUAAAGGCCCACCAAGCCAACGAUCUGUAGCUGGUCUGCGAGGACGACCAGCCACACUGGAACGGAGACACGGUCCAGACUCCUACGGGAGGCAGCAGUGGGGAAUUUUGGACAAUGGGCGAAAGCCUGAUCCAGCCAUUCCGCGUGCAGGAUGAAGGCCCUCGGGUUGUAAACUGCUUUUGUACAGAACGAAAAGGUUUCUACUAAUACUAGGAGCUCAUGACGGUACUGUAAGAAUAAGCACCGGCUAACUACGUGCCAGCCGCCGCCGUAA